AUUGAACGCUGGCGGCAGGCCUAACACAUGCAAGUCGAACGAGUGGCGGACGGGUGAGUAAUGUCUGGGAAACUACCCGAUGGAGGGGGAUAACUACUGGAAACGGUAGCUAAUACCGCAUACUAUCCGAUGUGCCGAUGUGGGAUUAGCUGGUUGGUGGGGUAACGGCUCACCAAGGCGACGAUCCGUAGCGGGUCUGAGAGGAUGAUCAGCCACACGGGGACUGAGACACGGGCCAGACGCCUACGGGAGGCAGCAGUGGGGAAUAUUGGACAAUGGGCGCAAGCCUGAUGCAGCCAUGCCGCGUGUAUGAAGAAGGCCUUCGGGUUGUAAAGUACUUUCAGCGGGGAGGCGGUACCCGCAGAAGAAGCACCGGCUAACUACGUGCCAGCAGCCGCGGUAAUAC
rnacentral:rRNA from 1 species